rnacentral:rRNA from 1 species
GACGAACGCUGGCGGCGUGCUUAACACAUGCAAGUCGAACGAAGAGCGAUGGAAGCUUGCUUCUAUCAAUCUUAGUGGCGAACGGGUGAGUAACGCGUAAUCAACCUGCCCUUCAGAGGGGGACAACAGUUGGAAACGACUGCUAAUACCGCAUACGAUCUAACCUUGGCAUCGAGGAUGGAUGAAAGGUGGCCUCUAUUUAUAAGCUAUCACUGAAGGAGGGGAUUGCGUCUGAUUAGCUAGCUGGAGGGGUAACGGCCCACCAAGGCGAUGAUCAGUAGCCGGUCUGAGAGGAUGAACGGCCACAUUGGGACUGAGACACGGCCCAGACUCCUACGGGAGGCAGCAGUGGGGAAUCUUCCGCAAUGGACGAAAGUCUGACGGAGCAACGCCGCGUGAGUGAUGACGGCCUUCGGGUUGUAAAGCUCUGUUAAUCGGGACGAAAGGCCUUCUUGCGAAUAGUAGAAGGAUGAC